rnacentral:rRNA from 1 species
AUUGAACGCUGGCGGCAUGCCCUACACAUGCAAGUCGAACGGUAACGGGCCUUCGGGUGCCGACGAGUGACGAACGGGUGAGUAACGCGUAGACAACCAACCUUUUUGUGGGGGACAACACUUCGAAAGGAGUGCUAAUACCGCAUACGCUCCAGAUGCCGCCUGGUGUUUGGAGGAAAGGAGCUUUACGGCUUCGCAAAAAGACGGGUCUGCGUCUGAUUAGCUAGUUGGAGGGGUAACGGCCCACCAAGGCGACGAUCAGUAGCCGGUCUGAGAGGAUGGACGGCCACACUGGGACUGAGACACGGCCCAGACUCCUACGGGAGGCAGCAGUGGGGAAUCUUCCGCAAUGGACGAAAGUCUGACGGAGCGACGCCGCGUGAGUGAUGAAGGCCCUUGGGUCGUAAAGCUCUGUCAUCAGGGACGAACGGUCACGUCAGGAAAUGGGCGUGAAUUGACGGUACCUGAGAAGGAAGCCACGGCUAACUACGUGCCAGCCGCCGCCGUA